UAAAAACAAAGUUUAUAAACAUUGCAACCUAGAACGAUGAUGAUGAAUCCAUCUGCAUCGAUUGGGUAUAUAAUUUGCAUACAUCUUUUUUUUUUAUAAUUUCAUAAGUAUGACAAAGCCUUAUACCUAAACGAUGAUGGUAGGUUGGAGUCCAAAUUUCUUGCCUUAUUUUGGUCUUUGAUUUUCAUUUGAAGUUCAUAUUGAAGCUUGAAAAUUUGCCUUUCUUAUUCUUUAAACUUAUAAAUACGCAAUGGGUUUUAGAAAAUUGCAAAUGUACAAUCUAUAUUUUUCAAUCCCUUCGACUCUUCCUUUGGCAUACUACAAAAGUAAUUAAAGACAUAUGGCUCACUACAAUGCUUUCUCUCUUGAAAACUUUUUUUGAAGCGCUUUUUCUCUUGAAAACUUAUCAAUCUACAAUAGACGUGCCUAAACUAUACCCAACCUAUACUACCACUCCCAAAGUCUUAGCUUUUCAACUCUUCCUUGAUCCACACUUGUCCUUUUUUAUUUUUCAUUUAUUUAUUUAUUAUUUUUUUUCUUUUCUUUUUUCUUUUGUUGGCUAGUGAAUAAAGUUUCAUACUAAGCUCUAUGAGCUUGCUUCAAGCCACAGAGUUUUUCUCGAUUUGUAUACAUGAGUAAGUUUAUUACAGCUCUCAAAUCCUUUUAGUUGCUCUGCAUGUGUUUCUCUUCUUUUUCUUCUUGCAAAUAACUAUUGAGGAACACACUCGAGACAUCCAUUUAAAAAGAACUUUAAUCUAAAUAUCUAUGGAUAUUGGCUAGAGCGUCCUUAUAGAAAUGUCAAAUCUAGCAAAGGUUUUAAAGUCAAAUUCCCAUUGUUUAAGAGUAGCUUUGUGCCACCCACCUAGGCAUGUUUCUUAAGAUGGCACCAAUUUUCAUCUAGCUUAUUCUUUUAAGAUCCAGUUAGUUUCAACCCAAAUUUUUUUUAUUUUGGGCCACAUAAACAUGUCAGAAAUUACAUAUACAUGGGGGGCCAUAUGAUGAUGGGUCUACGUUAUCAAGCCUUUCCACAAAAGUGCCCAACAGCAUUUAAUAAAAGGGGAAUUUGGCCCAAUACCCCCAUAGGACCGAGCUUCAUGAAUUUUGCCCCCUCAAUUCAUUUCUUUUUUAAUCUACCCCUCCAAUCUUUUAAAAUCCCAAAAUACCCUUAUGUUUUUUCUUUUUAUAUGUUUUUUUCUUUUCUUUCUUCGACUUUUCCCCUCCAUCUCUUUAUCCAUAACCAGACCUUAGGAGCCCUCUGUUUCCUUUCAUGAAUCGGUCGGAUUGUAAGCGUGGAGACUGCACGUUUUGAAGGAGAUGGUGAAGAGGCGACUCAGAGAGAAAACUGCAGGAUUUUAGAGAGCCCUAGAAGCAGAAGCAGAAGCAACAGGCAUUUCUUGCUGAGAGAUAUGUAUGAUGAUAUGAUGCUGGAUGGAGUACAGCCAACUAGGGAUACAUUCCAUUCUGUCAUCAGUUAGUGGAAAGGUGCUUUCAUGUUUGUUAUCAUGGACUUUCAUUCUUUCUGGAAUUUUCCGUUUGGUUGAUUUUGUUUUGUUGCAGGUGGAUAAGCAAAAUGCUCAUUUCUUUGGUGUUACGAUCAAUGAGCAACAAGCCGAGUGUGGUAUUGUAGUAAGAGUUACUUCAAAUGCACAAAGCAAAUUUAAGUUACUUUAUUUCGAGCAAGAUGUGAAUGGCGGUUAUGGUUUGGCCCUACAGAUGGAUAAUUGAUCCUCCUCUGGAGGUCACUGUACCAUCAAAACGCACACCAUGGCCUGAUGCCCCUCCUGAACUCCCUACCAAUGAAAAUGUAGUGUUGGGCAUCCAAGAGCAUGCUGUAAAGCAUCCUACAAAGACCCGCACAUCUAGAUCAAAGAGACGAAGCAAGAGAAAGCAUGACACAAGAACGGUGGACACACAGGUUGCUUUAAAGCAUUCUGAACAAAUUUGAAAAUCUUAGCACGAAGACGGCUAGAGAUGCAUGCUGCUGUGUGAAUUUUAGGCAUCAUUCUUCAGCAUCAUAAAAAAAUUUGAAUUGCAAAGGCUUAUUAGCACAGAGGCAGAUGGCCUAACCUGGUAUAUGUGAAAAGAAUCCUUCAUGCUGGGCCAGUUGAUAACAUGCAUUGGAGUUUGAAUUUUCACUUAAUUUUUCACAAAUUUUUUCUUUCUUUUAUAUAUUUUUGUUUGGGAUAUCAGGAUUCUGGUUCAGCAUGAGGUAUGCCAGCAAAGUCUUGCCGUGUCUGCUACCUUGUAGGACUUUGUAUCCAAUAUGUUUCGAAUCUUAUACAUAAUCUUGGAACAUAGGAAUUAUAGAGUUGUGUUCAGCUGGA